GCCUAGUUGGUCUAGCGGUCAGGAUUUGUGGCUCUCACCCACAAGGCACGGGUUCGACUCCCGUACUAGGAA